rnacentral:rRNA from 1 species
GAUUAACGCUGGCGGCGUGCCUAACACAUGCAAGUCGAGCGGCAGCGAGUUUUACACUGAAUUCUGGAAGCUUCUAGUUGAAAGAGAAGAUUUAUUCAAGAAUUUUGUGUAAAAUGUCGGCGAGCGGCGGACGGCUGAGUAACGCGUGGGAACGUACCCCAAAGUGAGGGAUAACGCAUCGAAAGGUGUGCUAAUACCGCAUAUGGUCUUCGGAUUAAAGCCUUCGGGCGCUUUGGGAACGGCCUGCGUAAGAUUAGAUAGUUGGUGGGGUAAUGGCCUACCAAGUCGACGAUCUUUAACUGGUUUGAGAGGAUGAUCAGUCAGACUGGAACUGAGACACGGUCCAGACUCCUACGGGAGGCAGCAGUGAGGAAUCUUCCACAAUGGGCGAAAGCCUGAUGGAGCAACGCCGCGUGCAGGAUGAAGGCCUUCGGGUUGUAAACUGCUUUUAUAAGCGAGGAUUAUGACAGUAACUUAUGAAUAAGGAUCGGCUAACUACGU